GGCUCCGUGGCUUAGAAGAAAGAAGCGCCCAUAUAGUGAACUGAGAAUCGUGGGUUUGAUUCCCACUGGAGCUC
rnacentral:tRNA from 1 species